CACGCUUGCGCGCCGCCUGCCCAAGGCCUCCGACGUUGCGGAGCGGGGCUCAGGGCCACCUGCACGAUCUCCGCGAGUCCCCGCAACGACACUGCCACGAGACUGUCACCACAAUGACGGGAAGCCCACCAUGGACAAGGCAAACCAUCCCCCUUAGACAUAGGCCCGUUUGCAUGGCGAUCAAGUACGCACUCCGGAGCCAGACCGCCUGGGUUACCGUCCUGGCCUUGCCCGUCGCCGGUGGCAUAAGCCUGUGCAAGUUCCUAACCUCGCUGAGGAGCAUUUCACUCAUCUGUAAAUGGGGGGUAAUGAUGCUGGCCACCGCAUAGGGUUAUACAAGUGACGCUGGUGAAGUGCUGCAGAACCAUGCCCAGGCUGCCGUGAGUGCAUGCCGUGUAGGUGUUUCCUUCUUUAUAUGGAUAAUGUCAGCUGCUGUUGUCAUCUGAACAGAAGAAAGACAUUUCCCUUGCCGUCACAAAGGGGCAGAAGGGACAUAGAGAUGAUAGCCUCAGCCUGUAUUUACCUAUUGUGCAAUAGUGUCCCCUCUGUCACGUUG